AACGAACGUUGGCGGCAUGGAUUAGGCAUGCAAGUCGAGCGAGAAGAGUUUUGAAGCUUGCUUUAGAACUCGGACAGCGGCGAAAGGGAGAGUAACGCGUAGUUAUGUGCCCUAGGGUCCGGAAUAGCCACGGGAAACUGUGGGUAAUGCCGGAUAAUAUCCCCGGAUCAAAGGUGUGAUUCCGCCCUAGGAGCAGACUGCGUCCUACUAGCUAGUUGGUGGGGUAAUGGCCCACCAAGGCAAUGAUGGGUAGCGGGUGUGAGAGCAUGACCCGUCUCUCUGGGACUGAGACACUGCCCAGACACCUACGGGUGGCUGCAGUCGAGAAUCUUCGGCAAUGGGCGAAAGCCUGACCGAGCGAUGCCGCGCGCGGGAUGAUGGCCCUCGGGUUGUAAACCGCUGUCGUAGGGGAGGAAGGUUCCGUGAAGAGCGGGACUUGACCUAUCCUAGGAGGAAGUACGGGCUAAGUUCGUGCCAGCCGCCGCAGUAACAC
rnacentral:rRNA from 1 species